GCCGGUGUUGCUCAGUGGAUAGAGCAUCAGCCUGCGGACUGAAGGGUCCCGGGUUCAAUUCUGGGCAAGGGCA
rnacentral:tRNA from 1 species